UACGAAGGGGGCUAGCGUUGCUCGGAAUCACUGGGCGUAAAGCGCACGUAGGCGGCUUUCUAAGUCAGGGGUGAAAUCCUGGAGCUCAACUCCAGAACUGCCUUUGAUACUGGAGAGCUGAGUCCGGGAGAGGUGAGUGGAACUCCGAGUGUAGAGGUGAAAUUCGUAGAUAUUCGGAAGAACACCAGUGGCGAAGGCGGCUCACUGGCCCGGUACUGACGCUGAUGUGCGAAAGCGUGGGGAGCAAACAGG
rnacentral:rRNA from 1 species